CAGUAGGGAAUCUUCCGCAAUGGACGAAAGUCUGACGGAGCAACGCCGCGUGAGUGAUGAAGGCUUUCGGAUCGUAAAGCUCUGUUGUUAGGGAAGAACAAGUACCGUUCGAAUAAGGCGGUACCUUGACGGUACCUAACCAGAAAGCCACGGCUAACUACGUGCCAGCAGCCGCGGUAAUACGUAGGUGGCAAGCGUUGUCCGGAAUUAUUGGGCGUAAAGGGCGCGCAGGCGGUUUCUUAAGUCUGAUGUGAAAGCCCCCGGCUCAACCGGGGAGGGUCAUUGGAAACUGGGGAACUUGAGUGCAGAAGAGGAGAGUGGAAUUCCACGUGUAGCGGUGAAAUGCGUAGAGAUGUGGAGGAACACCAGUGGCGAAGGCGACUUUCUGGUCUGUAACUGACGCUGAGGCGCGAAAGCGUGGGGAGCGAACAGGAUUAGAUACCCUGGUAGUCCACGCCGUAAACGAUGAGUGCUAAGU
rnacentral:rRNA from 1 species